GGUCAGAAAAAGUGUGUUAGGAGAACAAAGUGACCUACACUUUAAUAAAAAACUAGAAAAGUGACUCAUAGUGUAAAUCUUUCUUUUAUAAUACUUACAAACCCUUUUUCUUGUAUAUAUAAAUUUAGGUCUGACGUUAUUUGAUUUUUAAUGAGUUUUAUAUGUUUUUGUAGGUUUUAAUAUGAUUGGAGAGUUUAAUAUGUCUUUUUGUUAUAUCAAUCUAGAAUGAUCUAAAAUUUUUUUGUUUUAACUAAGAAAAUUGAUUCAAAAAAUCAGUUGAAAACUUUAAAAAUCUAUAGUUUCAAUAUUUUUAAUAACAAUGAGUUUUUUUUUUAUCAUCAACAUAAACAUACUCAAUCUUUGCAUUCGGAAAUAGAAGCACUGCGAUGGGCGAUGGAGAAUAUGCUUCAACAUUCGACAGAUUGCAAGGAGCUGAUUGCUAUGAUCAAGGAGCUUCGUGCAUGGCCGAGAUUUGCAACAUAAUUAGAAAGGAUUGAGACUCUGCAUAUAUGCUUCCCGGACUUCAAGAUCACCUAUGUUUCACGCGCGCAAAAUCAGAUUUCAGAUUCUUUAGCUAGGACCGCUAGGUCUUUUUAUAGGGAACUUUAUUUUUUGGUUGUUCUAUUCCGGUUUGGUUACCCACACUAGCUCAAGUUUGAGUAAUAGAAUAGCCAUUUGUUGUAAAAAAACAUAAAGAAACUCAAUUAAUACUCUAUUAACUAAAGUCUAUGAAGACGAACCGAGACGAUUGAUUGCGAGCAGCUUGUGUCAAACUAUCUGUUCGCUUGUUUAGAGUCCUUGAAACGUGUGUGAUCUUGAAAGUUGCAAAGCUUCCUCAGAUCCGUUCAAUUUCUUCUAGGUAGGUUGCAAAAGCAUACCAUUCUUCUGGUUUUCAAACCAUUUUCACCAACCGAGAACAAUCUGUUGCAAACAUCAACUAAAAUUGUCGAAGAUUCUUUAUAUAUUCCAUCACCCAUAUAAAAUUUUCGAAUUCCGCAUGUAGUGGAGAAAGACAAUUCCUAAUAUUCGUCGUGUCCAUCAGGCCAUCAAAACCCUCAGAUGUAUUGCACCACCUUUGACCAGAGAAUGCCUCUUCAUCUUUCCAUCAGUCGUCUGUAAAACACCACCUCCAUAUCUUUUGAGACGAAAUUGGAUUCUCCUAUUUUGGUCUGGGAUGGUGAUGUAUGGUCCACAUGUUGCAUUUGUACCUCUUGAGCCUCCUUCCAAAUAAUUGCCUAUGUUUGUGCUAACAUUAACAUAUUCAUGGGGUCUCUAUCAAUACCAAAGUAUCCAUGCAAACUAAGCAUCAUUUAUGUGAGAGCUAAUUUUUCAAAACAAAUAAUCCAUAUUCGCGAAAAUAGAAUGCAUAGGAAAACUUUCUGGCGAUGUUACAAUUCACAUUCACUCACAUAGCGCAACGUUGCACACCAUGGAAGGUCUCAAGACCACUCUUAGGAUGGUUAACCAGCUCUGAUACCACUUGUAAUGCUCCGACCGUCCACGGCUAAUGAGCCACCAACGCUCGCUCAACCGGCCCGUGAACCCCAUCCCGUGCAACGGAUGGUGCGUUAAUUUUUUCAAGGACCGAACGUAUUGUUCACUACAAGAAAUGUGGAUAUUAAUAGCAUCAGAUUAUAGUGUUUAUGACGGUUCUGCUAUUGUAUACCAACAAUGGCUUUUUUAAUAGCGUUUAUAAAUUUAAAACGCUAUGUUUAUUAUCACGGGAAAAUAAAAAAAUUUAGCCGCGUUAAUUUACCAAGUGUAGGCGCUUUACCAUUUCAGAUCCAAAAUUAAACGCUAUCGUAAGGGUUAAAUAUCUCAAAUUUUAAUCAAAAUACUUAAUAUUUGACCAGGCUUUAUAUACAAAAUAGUUUAGUUUUUAAUUUUUAUUUAUUUUUCUUUCUUUUCUGUUUCUUCUCCAUACGAAGAAAUGAGAGCGGUGUGCUUGACUUCCUCAAAUUCUCAGAUUCAUCUCUAGUCACCCUCGAUUGAAGCUUCAUCACCACUCCUUUUGACACCAUCGCUCGUUAUCCCGCCACCACCAGCUCGUUACCACCAUCGCCAUAUCUCUCAUCCGCCAUCUCUCUCUCUCUGAUUUUGUUUUGAGGGAGGGAGGGAGGGAGGGAGCUCGACGCCCUAGCAAACCUCGGCUCCUUCUCCGCCGCACAAGCCAAAAGGUGAUUUCCAUCGCAGCCGCCAGAAUGCUCCUUCCCUUCGCUUUCUCGGAAGUUUCUUCACCGGAAUCUGUACCUUCACCAGCGCAUACCACGGUGGACGGCCAGAACAUAAGCUUUGAAGGAUGGUAUCGAGCAGACAAGGAAGACAAGGCGACAGAGAAACUCUGAUAUAUGUAGCAGAGGCCUUGAUAGAAGUCAACUCCGGUGACUAGGUGAUGCGACGACAGCACUCUGAAGGCGGAUGUUCUGGAGGCUGGAGGCGUAGGAUUAGGUUUUGGCUAAUUAUGUUUUGGUUUAAUGUUUUAAUUUGCUUUUUGUUUAGUGUGUUCUUUAGUUAUUUGUACACUGAUGUUAAUCAAUAACUAAAAUUUAAUUUUUAAUUAUAAAUUAAUGUUUGAUUUAA